rnacentral:rRNA from 1 species
UACGGGGGGGGCAAGCGUUGUUCGGAAUUACUGGGCGUAAAGGGCUCGUAGGUGGCCAACUAAGUCAGACGUGAAAUCCCUCAGCUUAACGGGGGAACUGCGUCUGAUACUGGAUGGCUUGAGUUUGGGAGAGGGAUGCGGAAUUCCAGGUGUAGCGGUGAAAUGCUUAGAUAUCUGGAGGAACACCGGUGGCGAAGGCGGCAUCCUGGACCAACACUGACGCUGAGUGAGCGAAAGCCAGGGGAGCAAACGGG